GCCAGCCAGCCUGGACAUAUACAACUUUUUUAUGAGAAGCAGAACAAUUUAUUACAGGGAAGAUCAGCAGAGUACUAAAUCCUUGGGGAUGCUGGAAGGACACUACUGUUAUAGUGUUGAUAAUCUUGUUCUGGGCUGUAAAAACAACAGGGGGAGAAGGGAGAGGAUGGAUGAUGUCAUGCUGCUGUGGACUUUCCAGUCAAACAACCCGUAGUGGAGCUACUCUUGGCUCCAAGAGAAAGUGAAGGAGGCCAACCUUGACCCCCGUGACAGCGUGGUUGCCAUGGAAGCACAGGUCUUGCAUAGUUUCAGAGUUAGAUAAAGAUGUGGAACGAUACACACGCUGCGCUUUGGUCCGCUCCUUCAUACGACAUUCGUGACA
rnacentral:lncRNA from 1 species